GUACAAGUGGAACUGGAUCAUCACCACAACUGCCAUAAACAUUUCCCGGGUGUUUUUCAUCCGACCAUUACUGAGAAUAUGGUUUGUCUUAAACCGCACCAUAAAUCAACCUACUACGGGGACAGCGGAGGUCCAUUGACGGUGAAUGGAAAACUCGUGGGGUUGGUGUCGUUUGGUCGAACACUAAAGCCAAACAUGAAAACCUCAGUGUUUACCAAAGUGGGGAAUUUUCUGGAAUUUGUAGAAGAUUCUGUACCAAAGGAGUAUAUGGAGGAAUAAAUACCUUAAUUAUGAA
rnacentral:lncRNA from 1 species